UACAUGCUAAAAACCUCGACUUCGGAAGGGGUGUAUUUAUUAGAUAAAAAACCAAUGCCCUUCGGGGCUCCUUGGUGAUUCAUAAUAACUUAACGAAUCGCAUGGCCUUGUGCCGGCGAUGGUUCAUUCAAAUUUCUGCCCUAUCAACUUUCGAUGGUAGGAUAGUGGCCUACCAUGGUUUCAACGGGUAACGGGGAAUUAGGGUUCUAUUCCGGAGAGGGAGCCUGAGAAACGGCUGCCACAUCCAAGGAAGGCAGCAGGCGCGCAAAUUACCCAAUCCCGACACGGGGAGGUAGUGACAAUAAAUACUGAUACAGGGCUCUUUUGGGUCUUGUAAUUGGAAUGAGUACAAUUUAAAUCCCUUAACGAGGAACAAUUGGAGGGCAAGUCUGGUGCCAGCAGCCGCGGUAAUUCCAGCUCCAAUAGCGUAUAUUAAAGUUGUUGCAGUUAAAAAGCUCGUAGUUGAACCUUGAGCCUGGCUGGCCGGUCCGCCUCACCGCGUGCACUGGUCCGGCCGGGCUUUUCCUUCUGGGGAGCCGCAUGCCCUUCACUGGGUGUGUCGGGGAACCAGGACUUUUACUUUGAAAAAAUUAGAGUGUUCAAAGCAGGCCUAUGCUCGAAUACAUUAGCAUGGAAUAAUAGAAUAGGACGUGUGGUUCUAUUUUGUUGGUUUCUAGGACCGCCGUAAUGAUUAAUAGGGAUAGUCGGGGGCAUCAGUAUUCAAUUGUCAGAGGUGAAAUUCUUGGAUUUAUUGAAGACUAACUACUGCGAAAGCAUUUGCCAAGGAUGUUUUCAUUAAUCAGUGAACGAAAGUUAGGGGAUCGAAGACGAUCAGAUACCGUCGUAGUCUUAACCAUAAACUAUGCCGACUAGGGAUCGGGCGAUGUU
rnacentral:rRNA from 1 species